rnacentral:rRNA from 1 species
GACGAACGCUGGCGGCGGGCUUAACACAUGCAAGUCGAACGGAAAGGCCCUGCUUUUGUGGGGUGCUCGAGUGGCGAACGGGUGAGUAACACGUGAGUAACCUGCCCUUGACUUUGGGAUAACUUCAGGAAACGGGGGCUAAUAUAGGACAGGAUCUCCUGCUGCAUUGAGGGGGGUGGAAAGUCUCGGCGGGUGGGGAUGGACUGGCGGCUGACCAGCUUGUUGGUGGGCUAGUGGCUUACCAAGGCUGGGACGGAUAGCCCGCCUGAGAGGGUGACCGGCCACAUUGGGACUGCGAUACGGCCCAGACUCCAACGGGAGGCAGCAGUGGGGAGUAUUGCACAGUGAGAGGAAGCCUGAUGCAGCAACGCCGCGUGCGGGAUGACGGCCUGCGGGUUGUAAACCGCUUUCGCUUGUGACGAAGCGUGAGUGACGGUAAUGGGUGAAGAAGCACCGGCUAACUACGUG